rnacentral:rRNA from 1 species
ACGAACGCUGGCGGCGUGCUUCACACAUGCAAGUCGCACGGAAAGGCCCUGCUUGCCGGGUACUCGAGUGGCGAACGGGUGAGUAACACGUGGGUGAUCUGCCCUGCACUUCGGGAUAAGCUUGGGAAACUGGGUCUAAUACCGGAUAGGAACCAUCUUUAGUGUGGUGGUUGGAAAGUUUUUUCGGUGUAGGAUGAGCUCGCGGCCUAUCAGCUUGUUGGUGGGGUAAUGGCCUACCAAGGCGGCGACGGGUAGCCGGCCUGAGAGGGUGUACGGCCACAUUGGGACUGAGAUACGGCCCAGACUCCUACGGGAGGCAGCAGUGGGGAAUAUUGCACAAUGGGCGCAAGCCUGAUGCAGCGACGCCGCGUGGGGGAUGAAGGCCUUCGGGUUGUAAACUCCUUUCGCUAGGGACGAAGCUUUGUUGUGACGGUACCUAGAGAAGAAGCACCGGCUAACUACGUG